rnacentral:rRNA from 1 species
UACGUAGGGUGCGAGCGUUGUCCGGAAUUAUUGGGCGUAAAGGGCUCGUAGGCGGUUUGUCGCGUCGGGGAGUGAAAACCAGGUGCUUAACACCUGGCUUGCUUUCGAUACGGGCAGACUAGAGGUAUUCAGGGGAGAACGGAAUUCCUGGUGUAGCGGUGAAAUGCGCAGAUAUCAGGAGGAACACCGAUGGCGAAGGCAGGUCUCUGGGCUGUAACUGACGCUGAGGAGCGAAAGCAUGGGGAGCGAACAGG